CUCCAGUGUAGCACAAAUGACUUAAUGGCCUAGGUUGGGAGAGUAAAGGAUCUUGAGGCACAGGCAACUACUAUGAUGUACAAGGGGAAUGCUGUGGAAACAAUCUACUUUGAUUUCAGCAAAGCUUUUGACAAGGUUCCACAUCUCACUAUUCUCCCUGUCAAACUUCAAAAAUACAGUAGGCAUACAAUAAGGUAGGUCCACAAACUGGCUGGUUAAUUGCAGUAAUUGCAUACAAAGAAUGUGUUGAUCGCGUACAAUCGCAUACCAAGAAUGUGUCUCCACAUCAUCUUGGAGAACAGCAUCCAGUGGGGUUCCACAAAACUUAGCCUAGACCACACCAGUAAGCAUGAGAUGCCUGAAUGCUACUUCUGCAGUGAUAUUUGCCAUCUGCAAACAAAACUGUAGCAGGAGAAAGCUAAGACCAUGUGCAAUAAGGGCCCAGCAAUAGUAAUCUAUCAUCAUCUGGGGAAAAGAGCAUACACUUACUUCUGUCUCUGGAUCUGCAGCCCCAGCUGGAAGUAGUCUAAAUAUCUUCCAUUUAAAUGCUUGAAAUAAAACACAUAUCUGUAGAACUGCAUGGGUUCUUGUCCAUGCCUGUUUCUUUCCAACACUAGACCCCAGGCUGCAAGCUUGGGCUGAUGGUCUUUGUUUUCCCUAAUAGUCAGUGGGAGGAAGCAAAUACUUGUCUAUUCUUCCCCAUCCCCUACAAGUUAGAAAAGCUGGGUUGCAGUUCAUGACCCUAACAUAAUAAAUAUGUUAGUUUACUUAUCUGAGAUUCUGCUAUUUCUUCAAAAAAACAAAAAACAAAAAAACUAGGAUGGAGCUUAAGAAACCUAACACCAGUGGUAUUUGAAAUUCCCAGCAGCAAAACUCCCCCUGCUGGGAGUUUAGCUGAGAAGACUGAAUCUGAAUUAUUUGUGCAUAACAUGCACACAUACCAAAGGGGAAUCUUAGUAGUGUUUAAAUAUACAUAAUGCUAAUGACAACACAAUUUGCGUAAGCUUCAUAGUCAUACACUUCUCUUUCAGCAGAGGAAGGAAAAGCAUAUGCUAUUUGGGGUAAAUAUUACUUGGGGGUUCGUAAUGCCAGGAAUAGAAAACUGGAUCUGUGCACAAGGACAAUGAUGACAUAUUCAAGACUGCACAACAGGAAAUCAGAAGAGUGGGGUGAUGGCAAAUGAGCAGCCCUGAAUAUUAAUGUAUUGGAAUGGUAGGAAAUGAAAAAAAA